AACUGAAAAAGAAAAGCGGCCGCGUCCCACGCCAUGUCUUCGCCCAACCGCCUCGAUCCCCUAGCACACACCCACGAUCUCCCCAUCCGGUCACGCAGGGAAGUCCUGCCCCUGUCCCAUCCGCCCCGUCCCUCGUCCAUCUCUUCCCCAUUCCCUUCUCUUAUCCUCUUGAACCUCCUACAUGGCCCUCAUGGGCGCCGCCUCUGACCGCCGCAUCCCCGCCUUAGUGGAAGCCUCCUCCCCGUCGUCGAAGAAGGAGAAGCCCACAAACUUGCACGGCUACGGCGGCCCUAGAGGACCACACCGCCACACCGCCAUUGUGGCUCCUCCCGCAUUGAGAUCAGAUGGCGUUGGGCAAACGCUUGCCUGCACUGCCGUUGGGGGAAGAGGGACUUCUUCGUCCCACCGUUGAGGAGUUUCUCGCCAUUGGCUACACGCAUCCACCACGACAGCCCAAGAAGUUAUCGCGUUAUCUGCAGAAGCAGAUCGAUGUGUUGUGUCGGGGAUUACAUAUUUUCCUUUGGUCAUUGAUUUAACUAAGUUGAUUUUGCACAUUGGGUUGUGGUGUUUAAUUCUGCCUGUUUCUGAGUUGAUUCUGCACAUGGAUAAAUACUUUGGUGGAUGAUAUUUAUACUUAGAUGACAUCUUGAGGAGGAAUAGUGCCAGUGCGUGCCUUGGUUUCUGGACUUCCUAGGCUGAAGCUGAAGCAAGCCUCCCAUGACCAUCAUCGGAUUAUAUAUUUCCAGACGUAUACAUCCAUACAUCAGAGAGGAGAGUAUAGACGACAGAAAAGCAAACACAUGGCCGAUGCUGCUGCAUGUGAAGCUCAACAGAGGAGAUGGAAGAGGGAGAGCACCAAAAACAAUUUUUUUGUCCACAUGGAUAUCUUGAAUUUUGAUAUAUAUGAUUGCUUGGAUCUGUAGCUACCAAAUGAUAGUGAUAUACCUCUCUAAAACAUUGCAGUUAGCUGUGUUUUUUCGUAUUUGCCGAUGGCAAUUUCUUGGACCUGGUGGAUGAUCCAAAUCCAUAUAGCUUGAGAGCGGAUGGGAAAGUCUUCAGAGGCAUUUUCGUCUGUAUAUAAUUAAUUGUCUUUCCUACAUAGAAAUGAAAUGCAGUCGACCUAUUUUUUUAGAA